CUACGUGCCAGCAGCCGCGGUAAUACGUAGGGCGCGAGCGUUGUCCGGAAUUAUUGGGCGUAAAGAGCCUGUAGGCGGUUUGUCGCGUCUGCUGUGAAAGGCCGGGGCUUAACUCCGUGUAUUGCAGUGGGUACGGGCAGACUAGAGUGCAGUAGGGGAGACUGGAAUUCCUGGUGUAGCGGUGGAAUGCGCAGAUAUCAGGAGGAACACCGAUGGCGAAGGCAGGUCUCUGGGCUGUAACUGACGCUGAGAAGCGAAAGCAUGGGGAGCGAACAGGAUUAGAUACCCUGGUAGUCCAUGCCGUAAACGUUGGGCACUAGGUGUGGGGAACAUUCCACGUUUUCCGCGCCGUAGCUAACGCAUUAAGUGCCCCGCCUGGGGAGUACGGCCGCAAGGCUAAAACUCAAAGAAAUUGACGGGGGCCCGCACAAGCGGCGGAGCAUGCGGAUUAAUUCGAUGCAACGCGAAGAACCUUACCAAGGCUUGACAU
rnacentral:rRNA from 1 species